UGAAAUUGCAUCAUCUUAUCAAAAUGAGCGACGACGAGAAAAGAGAUACUUCAGUCUUUGAAAUUGCCAUGGCGGUCAUAGGUGUCGUUGGAGCCGUUGCUGGCUUGUUCUCCGGGAUGGGAUCAGGACCCCAAACGAAGACUAUGAAGGCUCCCGGUAAGGAUGGUCGGAUUUUCAGGAAUGCUUUCGAGAGCGACCCGAAAGGGUAUUUCCAGAACCUGCGUAAGAAAUGAAUAUGUUUGAUGAUGUAUGUGGGAC
rnacentral:lncRNA from 1 species